AAUCUCGUGUUUGGGAAGGGUUAUUUGGAGCUUAAUCAGUUCCAAUGGCGGACGAUCAUGCAGCAUCUUCUCAAAUUUGUAGCAUAAAAAUGGAUAUCAACUGCUGUCAAAAGUGCCCUCUAAAACUGGAGAAAGCUCCUCAAAUCAAAUGGAGUGGAAUCUGUUACUAUAGACCAAGAUAAAGGGCUGGUUACAGUAGCAGGUGACAUUGACCCUGUUGCACUCUUACAAAAAAUAAAAGCUAUGGGGAAAGAAGCCAAACUCUGGUUCUUUCAACAGGAAUCCAACUGCAGUGAGAAAACCACUGGGCGUUCGAGGAGUGGUUCGAACAUCGAACAUGGUGGCAUUGGAUCUGAUAGUAUCACUGAGAAUGAAACACACUUUGGUUGGCAUUUGGCAACGGGCAUGAAGGAGCACGAUCGGGGGUU